rnacentral:tRNA from 1 species
GCAGUGCUGGUUCAAUGGUAGAAUUCUUGCCUUCCAUGCAGGAGACCCCAGUUUGCAUUCCGGACAAUGCA